rnacentral:rRNA from 1 species
GACAGAGGUGCCGAGCGUUAGGCGGAAUCACUGGGCUUAAAGCGUGUGUAGGCGGACUCGUAAGUGCUUUGUGAAAUCCCACGGCUCACCCGUGGAACUGCUUGGCAUACUGCGAGCCUUGAGCCACUUAGGGGCAACCGGAACAAACGGUGGAGCGGUGAAAUGCGUAGAUAUCGUUUGGAACGCCAAUGGUGAGGACAGGUUGCUGGGAGUGCGCUGACGCUGAGACACGAAAGCCAGGGGAGCGAACGGG